AACGAACGCUGGCGGCAGGCUUAACACAUGCAAGUCGAGCGCCCCGCAAGGGGAGCGGCAGACGGGUGAGUAACGCGUGGGAAUCUACCGAGCCCUGCGGAAUAGCUCCGGGAAACUGGAAUUAAUACCGCAUACGCCCUACGGGGGAAAGAUUUAUCGGGGUUUGAUGAGCCCGCGUUGGAUUAGCUAGUUGGUGGGGUAAUGGCCUACCAAGGCGACGAUCCAUAGCUGGUCUGAGAGGAUGAUCAGCCACAUUGGGACUGAGACACGGCCCAAACUCCUACGGGAGGCAGCAGUGGGGAAUAUUGGACAAUGGGGGCAACCCUGAUCCAGCCAUGCCGCGUGAGUGAUGAAGGCCUUAGGGUUGUAAAGCUCUUUCACCGGUGAAGAUAAUGACGGUAACCGGAGAAGAAGCCCCGGCUAACUUCGUGCCAGCAGCCGCCGCCGUAA
rnacentral:rRNA from 1 species